rnacentral:rRNA from 1 species
UACGGAGGGUGCAAGCGUUAUCCGGAUUCACUGGGUUUAAAGGGUGCGUAGGAGGGCAGGUAAGUCAGUGGUGAAAUCCCCAAGCUUAACUUGGGAACUGCCGUUGAUACUAUCUGUCUUGAAUACCGUGGAGGUGAGCGGAAUAUGUCAUGUAGCGGUGAAAUGCUUAGAUAUGACAUGGAACACCAAUUGCGAAGGCAGCUCGCUACACGAAUAUUGACUCUGAGGCACGAAAGCGUGGGGAUCAAACAGG